CCUACGGGUGGCAGCAGUAGGGAAUCUUCCACAAUGGGCGCAAGCCUGAUGGAGCAACACCGCGUGAGUGACGAAGGGUUUCGGCUCUUAAAGCUCUUUUGUUGGAGAAGAACGUGCGUGAGAUUAACUGUUCACGCAGUGACGGUAUCCAACCAGAAAGUCACGGCUAACGCCGUUCCAGCAGCCGCGGUAAUACGUAGGUGGGAAGCGUUACUCGGAUUUACUGGGCGUAAAGCGAUCGCAGGCGGUUGCUUAGGUUUGAUGUGAAAGCCUGCGGCUUAACCGAAGAAGUGCAUCGGAAACCGGGCAAGUUGAGUGCAGAAGAGGACAGUGGAACUCCAUGUGUAGCGGUGGAAUGCGUAGAUAUAUGGAAGAACACCAGUGGCGAAGGCGGCUGUCUGGUCUGCAACUGACGCUGAGGCUCGAAAGCAUGGGUAGCGAACAGGAUUAGAUACCCGAGUAGUC
rnacentral:rRNA from 1 species